CAAAGCCGAAGCUGAGCGGAGGCUGAAGGGGCUGUAACGCGAAAUCAGUUUGCUGUAAUGUCAGAGAUAGAAAUCAGCGAGAAGCCGCGCAGGAGCGUGUUAUCCCGGCAGCUUGAGAAAAAUAAAUGAGUUGCAGACGAAGGGCAGUGCACAAACUAUUCCCAGCGGCUGAGUGACACCUGGUAACUUGUUAGGCCUCUUGAUGAUAAUGUAGCUGCUACCUGAGAAUCCAAGAGGGAAAAGAAGGUGUCUGCAUUCUAAUUUGUCAUCAGCAUCAGCAGACUCAGAAUUUACUGAGGUAAAAUACCAGUUCACAGUUUGAAGGUGAGAUGUGGACAUCAAUAGCAAGCUUCACAUGGUUAUCAGAGAAUUAAGCAGUGGCUGAAACAAGACUUCAGGAAAAGUUGGAUUCCUCGCACACAGACUGCUGACCAAGCAGCAGAGGUUCAGUAGAUACGAGCCCAUUCUGGAUCAUCUUAGAGGGCCUGUUUUCUCCAGUUCUGCAAAGACGUCAGUACUGCUGGAUUCCUGAGCCCAUUCAAAGAGCCUCU
rnacentral:lncRNA from 1 species